AACGCACCUUGCGCUCCUUGGUAUUCCGAGGAGCAUGCCUGUUUGAGUGUCAUUAAUAUAAUCAACCUCUUCUUGUUUUGAGAAUGGUUUGGAUGUGGGGGUUUGCUGGCCUCUCUCAAAAGGUUCAGCUCCCCUGAAAUGCAUUAGCAGAACAACCUUUGCUCAUUGGUGUGAUAACUAUCUACGCUUAUGAAUACGGAGGGGCAGUUCAGCUUUCUAACGGUCUUUGGACAAUUCAUCAUUAAUGUGACCUCAAAUCAGGUAGGACUACCCGCUGAACUUAA
rnacentral:misc_RNA from 1 species